AAAGGUGACAUCACCAAGGAAGAAUUACGGAAUAGGCGUUUUGAAAAGCUGUUUGCCAGUUAUCGAGACGAUUAUCACCAGAAGCAAGAAGAUUGAGAGAUCUCGCAAGAAUUAGGCGAUGACUAUGUGGUUACGUGUCCGUAUCAAACUAAUCUUUUACCAAAU
rnacentral:ribozyme from 1 species